rnacentral:misc_RNA from 1 species
AACCUUAUGGACCUGCGGGCGUAUACCUGCGGAAGGAUCAUUACCGAGUUAGGGUUGCCUUUUUAGGUGCCCGACCUCCCAACCCUUUGUCUAUGAUACCUAUUGUUGCUUCGGCGCGCCCGAGGGGUCGUACCCUCGCCUGGACUCGUGCCGGGAGCGUGGCCGCCGAUGGCCCAAUUUAAACUAUUGAACCCAAAACCUGUCGUCUGAAAACGUUAUGAUUUACAAUCAAAAACAAAA